rnacentral:rRNA from 1 species
UACGGAGGAUCCGAGCGUUAUCCGGAUUUAUUGGGUUUAAAGGGUGCGCAGGCGGGAGAUUAAGUCGGCGGUGAAAUUUUGCAGCUCAACUGUAAAAGUGCCUUCGAAACUGGUUUCCUUGAGUGUAGAUGAAGUAGGCGGAAUUUGUGGUGUAGCGGUGAAAUGCAUAGAUAUCACGAGGAACUCCGAUUGCGCAGGCGGCUUACCAGGCCAUAACUGACGCUCAUGCACGAAGGCGUGGGGAUCAAACAGGAUUAGAUACCCGGGUA